rnacentral:rRNA from 1 species
CACGUAGGGCGCAAGCGUUGUCCGGAAUUAUUGGGCGUAAAGAGCUCGUAGGCGGUCUGUUACGUCUGCUGUGAAAACCCAGGGCUUAACCCUGGGCUUGCAGUGGAUACGGGGCAGACUAGAGGCAGGUAGGGGAGAAUGGAAUUCCCGGUGUAGCGGUGAAAUGCGCAGAUAUCGGGAGGAACACCGGUGGCGAAGGCGGUUCUCUGGGCCUGACCUGACGCUGAGGAGCGAAAGCGUGGGGAGCGAACAGG